rnacentral:lncRNA from 1 species
AAACCCUGGCUGCAAGCUUGGGGCCCAUAGGGCUCUGGUCAAAAGUAGUGCUCUGUAUAGGGAAUAGGGAACCAUUUGGAAAACAGGCCAUAUCAUGUAGAACAGUAUUCUCCAUCCUCCUGGAGAAGGUUUCUGACUUGUCUUGUUUCUGAUUCGCUCUGAGGAUAUAUCUGUGUCUAUGUAGAAGCAUUGACGUUGAGUGCCCAUUGUUUUCUAACUAUAGUGAGGUUAUAUCUGUGUCUAUGUAGAAGCAUUGACAUUGAGUGCCCAUUGUUUUCUAACUAUAGUGAGGUUAUAUCUGUGUCUAUGUAGAAGCAUUGACGUUGAGUGCCCAUUGUUUUCUAACUAUAGUGAGGUUAUAUCUGUGUCUAUGUAGAAGCAUUGACGUUGAGUGCCCAUUGUUUUCUAACUAUAGUGAGGUUAUAUCUGUGUCUAUGUA